rnacentral:rRNA from 1 species
UACGGAGGGGACUAGCGUUGUUCGGAAUUACUGGGCGUAAAGCGCACGUAGGCGGAUUUGUAAGUCAGGGGUGAAAUCCCGGGGCUCAACCCCGGAACUGCCUUUGAUACUGCAAAUCUCGAGUCCGGAAGAGGUGAGUGGAAUUCCUAGUGUAGAGGUGAAAUUCGUAGAUAUUCGCAAGAACACCAGUGGCGAAGGCGGCUCACUGGCCCGGUACUGACGCUGAGGUGCGAAAGCGUGGGGAGCAAACAGG